rnacentral:rRNA from 1 species
UACGUAGGGGGCAAGCGUUGUCCGGAUUUAUUGGGCGUAAAGAGCGUGUAGGCGGCAAUACAGGUCAGCUGUGAAAACUCGAGGCUCAACCUCGAGACGUCGGUUGAAACCGUAUGGCUAGAGUCCGGAAGAGGAGAGUGGAAUUCCCGGUGUAGCGGUGAAAUGCGCAGAUAUCGGGAAGAACACCCGUGGCGAAGGCGGCUCUCUGGGACGGUACUGACACUGAGACGCGAAAGCGUGGGGAGCAAACAGG